rnacentral:rRNA from 1 species
UAGCUGGUCUGAGAGGAUGAUCAGCCAGACUGGAACUGAGACACGGUCCAGACUCCUACGGGAGGCAGCAGUGAGGAAUAUUUCACAAUGAGCGAAAGCUUGAUGGAGCAAUGCCGCGUGCAGGAUGAAGGCCCUCGGGUUGUAAACUGCUUUUAUAAGAGAAGAUUAUGACGGUAACUUAUGAAUAAGGGACGGCUAACUACGUGCCAGCAGCCGCGGUCAUACGUAGGUCCCGAGCGUUAUCCGGAGUGACUGGGCGUAAAGAGUUGCGUAGGCGGUCAAGUUAGCGAGCGAUGAAAACUAUCGGCUCAACCGAUAGCUUGUUGUUCGAACUGCUUGACUCGAGAGUAUCAGAGGUCGCUGGAAUUCCUAGUGUAGCAGUGAAAUGCGUAGAUAUUAGGAAGAACACCGAUGGCGUAGGCAGGCGACUGGGAUAUUUCUGACGCUAAGGCACGAAAGCGUGGGUAGCGAACCGGAUUAGAUACCCGGGUAGUCCACGCCGUAAACGAUGGAUGCUAAUUGUUUGAGGUAUCGACCCCUCGAGUAAUAAAGCUAACGCGUUAAGCAUCCCGCCUGUGGAGUACGGCCGCAAGGCUAAAACAUAAAGGAAUUGACGGGGACCCGCACAAGCGGUGGAUCGUGUUCUUUAAUUCGAUGCUAAACGAAGAACCUUACCAGGGCUUGACAUCCAGGGAAUUUUUGGGAAACCAAUUAGUGCCUUUUGGAACCCUGUGACAGGUGAUGCAUGGCCGUCGUCAGCUCGUGUCGUGAGAUGUUUGGUUAAGUCC